rnacentral:snRNA from 1 species
AUACUUACCUGGACGGGGAUCACCCCUGAUCAUCAAGGCCCAUGGCCUAGGUUGGUGACCUCCACUGCUCUUUGGAGGGGCGCCCGCCUAAGGUCGGCCCAAGUGGUCGAGCCUACGUCAUAUUUUGUUGCUGAGGGGGCCUGCGUUCGCGCGGCC